GACGAACGCUGGCGGCGUGCUUAACACAUGCAAGUCGAGCGGUAAGGCCCUUUCGGGGGUACACGAGCGGCGAACGGGUGAGUAACACGUGGGUGACCUGCCCUCAGCUCUGGGAUAAGCCUGGGAAACCGGGUCUAAUACUGGAUAUGACUCCAUGACGCAUGUUGUGGGGUGGAAAGCCUUGUGCGGCUGAGGAUGGGCCCGCGGCCUAUCAGCUUGUUGGUGGGGUGAGGCCUACCAAGGCGACGACGGGUAGCCGGCCUGAGAGGGCGACCGGCCACACUGGGACUGAGACACGGCCCAGACUCCUACGGGAGGCAGCAGUGGGGAAUCUUGCGCAAUGGGCGAAAGCCUGACGCAGCGACGCCGCGUGAGGGAUGACGGCCUGUGUAACUC
rnacentral:rRNA from 1 species